rnacentral:misc_RNA from 1 species
GAUGAAGAACGUAGCGAAAUGCGAUAAGUAAUGUGAAUUGCAGAAUUCAGUGAAUCAUCGAAUCUUUGAACGCACAUUGCGCCCGCCAGUAUUCUGGCGGGCAUGCCUGUUCGAGCGUCAUUUCAACCAUCAAGCCCCCGGCUUGUGUUGGGGACAUGCGGCUGCCGCAGGCCCUGAAAACCAGUGGCGGGCUCGCUAGUCACUCCGAGCGUAGUAAUACAUCUCGCUCAGGGCGUGCUGCGGGUUCCGGCCGUUAAAAAAGCCUUAUUUACCCAAGGUUGACCUCGGAUCAGGUAGGAAGACCCGCUGAACUUAAGCAUAUCAAUAAGCGGAGGA